CGCGGCCCGGUGGGCCCUGCCCCGCGGGGUCACAGCCGAGCGAGAACAGCGGAGGAGGACUCGGGAACAGAGGCAGCAGGGGAAGGACAGGUUGAUCAGCACAGGGAGUUAGUUCUUCUCGGGCUUUGUUGUCUUAACAUCUGUAAUUUAGCUGCUUUUUUUCUUUUCACAAUUAGACGUUCUGUUUGAAGAGUUAAACUCAACACAAUGAAUAUUGUAUAACCUGCUCAUUAACUAGACUCCCUUGGCCGCGGAGCUUCCUCUGUUGCCUUAAGGAACCUGCAGAAAUAGAAGCUCUGUCCCUCCUCCGUGUGUCAGGCUCAUUUGCUCUAACUCUUUGAAAAAAAGUAGCACUGGGGUCGUGUCUCUCAGAAGAAGAAAGAACUGCAGCCCCCACUUGCACUCCCCAAACCUCCUCAGAAGUUUCAUUUUCAAAACUAGCCUCCCAGCUGGCUCUGCUUCAGAUGACAAGGCGAGCGCUGGGGUAUUCAGUCGUCUUGGAAACUCAAAAGCCAGGCAGAUCCUCCUUGGAGACUGAUGUGAAGCAAGGCGAGUCUGAGGGAACUCCAUCCAACACAUCUGUGGAGAGACGUGUAUGCACCGCAUGAACACGAGAGCGGGGUAAGCAAGCCUCUUCUUGAGGUGCAGAUGGAUCUGAGACCUCCCAUCCCUUCACACCUGAUGGGCGGCUUAUGUACCCCAACAGCCAGCAGACAUACUGCUUCUUGCCAAAGGUCAGGCUGCAAAAAAUGCUGAUGCCACACAGUUGGAAGAAGAACCUCAACUCGUCUUUUCAAGGACAAAAAGGAAGACAACGUCGUGGACCAAGACCAUCUUCCUGUUCUUGUGAUGUAUGAAGAUCCCUUUGACUUAGCCAAGUGUCCCAGAGGUACUAUGUGGGGUCAAGACGACAGACUGGAGUAUAACUUUUGAAUAUGCUCAGCUAAUUGGACACCCAGAAAUUAGCUGCGUUUUCAGAGGUAAACCUGUUACAGAGUCAUAAAACAUUUUAAUGUGGAAACAAAAAACCACUAUAAAUUUGGAAAGGGUGUUUAUUGAGCACCUGAAUCACACAGGUACUGUGCAAAGAACUCAGCAUACAUUUUCACCUUUAACUCUCACAAUAACUUAAGAAUAAGUUCAGUAACUUGCCUAAGAGAGGGGCAUUCAUGACAUUUCAAUUCAAGAAAAAGAAUGUUUUUUAAAAAAUGGAGUGUAUGGAAAAAAAAAAAAAAAACGGAGUGUAUGGGAAAGAGACAGAUCCUGCUGUUUUUCCAGCUUCUUUUAGAUCAUAGGGCACUAAGCUCAAGAUUGUCUCCUCCUGGAUUCUGGGCUAUGCAGAGCUGUCUCCUGGCUUCAGGCAAAGCCUCAUUAGGAACAUGGAGACCUGGGUAAUUGUGUGCUCACAAAUGAGAGUGUUCUAGGAAUUCUGGGGGAAGAAAUGAAUGUACUAUACUCCAGUGGUGGCCAGAGACACCCCUUCUACAUAUCCCACCCUCCUCAAUGGUAUCUUCCCCGAGAUGCAGACCAGGAAUCCCACCAGUGGAGAGCUCGCCUCAGGCCAUCAUCCUCUGGCCAACAAGUCAAGAGCUGCUUAGUGCCAAGUGUGAUGUGGACACUUGCCUGCUGGAUGGAGACAGAAACUCAUUUUCCAUCUGUCAAGCAACCCGACACAGAGCCGGUAAUGAUUUUCUGUCAGCUGAGGCCUGCCUGGAUUUGAACCAGUGACCCAGAGGUACGUUCUGAUUGGAAAAGACGUUUAAUGAAUGGCCUGAGCUGGCUCACCAGAUGCUGACAAUGAAACAUUUAACUCUACCAAUUGAAGGUUUCUGCCUCAGAAGAUUAGGUACACCUUCACCUGUCUGACAGCGUUGUAGGGGUAAUUAGCAAACAGGGAAUUCAAGAAUGAAUUAAAGAACUGAGCCACAGAGCCUUCAUUCAAAUGCUAGCUGUGUCUUCCAGGAGGGGUCACUGGAUUUAUGGAGACAAGAUGAGGAAGUUGAGGCCCACAGCAGUUACAUGAUUUGUUCCAGCUUUUUGGUGAGAGAAUUGGAACCUGAAUCUGGGCUAAAAUCAGGUGGUAGUACACUUCUAGUGUGUCAAAGUCUCUCCAGCCCAGAAGGCUCUGAUUUAAUCUGGCAUUGGCUGUCAGCCGUUAGAGCUGUACUUCCGGUGCAGCUAAGAAGGAUAUCUGCAUGACCGGCUCCCCUGUCUGGAGAAGCUCCAGUGUGCUCCUGCUGCCUGCUUUCUCCAAAAAAGGGGAAGGUUAAUAAACGGCGUCCCUAAAGUCAGACACCACUAGGAAGUAGGCUGCCUGGAACUGGAGACCAGCUUGCUUUCUGAGAAGGAAAUUAAGAAAAUAAAGACACCGACACCACCACCACCACCACCACCACACAGUUAGAGGAGCUAUCUCGGAGAAGACCUCAUCUGUCAUUAGCUGUGUGCCACUAAACAAGUUACCCAGAGCUCUGUGGCUUAGUUUCCUUGUGUCUGAAACGGUACAAUGGAGAGAUGACACUACCUUGCCUGGGCGACUUCCUCUGAAGUAGUACAUACGAGCACUUCUAACAAGGUCCUCAAAGAUCACAUCACAAAGUUUAGAGCAGAUAAAAUUGGAGACCUUACCUGUCCAAUAAUGAGAGGAACCACAACAGUCAUAAAAAGCUGAGAAAAAAUAGAUGUGAAAGGCACAGAAGAGGACGAGCCAAGCUGUAAGGCAAGAAUAUAAGAGGAGUGAGAAUUACUUUGAAUCAGUUA